CCUGUCAAGACAAACACUGCUGCUUAAUACAAGCUCUACAGAGAUCCCAAACCACUAUUUUUCUUUAAUCCAGACAUUUUAGAAAAUUAUUGGAAAAAGCAUCUUUUGUGACCCAAACUGCCAAGCCAGUAGGGUGUUUUUGUUUCAGUAGGUUGGUUAUUAUUGGAGGGACAGAAGUAUGUUCUACCAUCAUUAUCCAGAGGACAAUUAUCCAACAGAUUCUGCAACCACUGUGCUAAUUCAAUGCCUCCUCUGGAAUGAGAAUUUGCAGCCAAUCAAUAUGAUCGCCCUGAAGCAGCUGUUUUGUUUGUCAGUCUCAAACAUCUUCAAGAGAACUCUGCUUCUCCUUUCACAUUUCAGUACAAACCUUGCUUUCUUAAACCUCCUAGGUAUUGAGCAGUCCUGUUCCUUUAAGUGCAGCGACCCCCAUCUGCCACUUCAUGCCGCUUCUAAAGGAAGUCAGGAAAUUUAAUUUUCUCUUAAAACUUCAUCAGUUCUGAAUCAAAUGCAUUCUGUGCAGAGAAAACCAAAGGAUUUUGUUUCAUGUCUGGUGUUGAGAUUGUUAAGUGAGGGAACAACCUUUUGAUGGAUAAGUGAAUCCUACUGUGCUUUGCACAGGAGUAACAAAUCUCUCUGUCCACAGGCUGCCCACAGCUUUACAGCAUUGCCACUGGCACCACCUCUCACCUUCAAAAGGCCUGGGAUCUGUGCAGCUCAUGUUCAGCCAGGCAUGGAAUGUGAGAGAACAACAGCAGCAGGGAAAAGAGGAUGCAGCCCAGCGGCUGGCAGCUGCAUCACUCCUGUUAAGCAGCAUGGCAGAUGCUAUCCCCACAGAUUUGCAACUUCAGGUGUCAGUGGGAGGCACAGAGAACAGACUUCUGAAAAGGUUCACAAACAUAAACAAUUCAACAUUCAAAUAAAGAACUUCUCACCAUC